GCGAAGGUGGCGGAAUUGGUAGACGCGCUAGCUUCAGGUGUUAGUGU
rnacentral:tRNA from 3 species